rnacentral:rRNA from 1 species
AGUCAACCUAACUCGUGGACGUGGAUAACCUCGGGAAACUGAGAAUAAACCACGAUAGAUCAUAGUGCCUGGAAUGGCUUAUGGUCCAAACAGUUUACUGCCAUGGGGUGGGACUGCGGCCUAUCAGCUUGUUGGUGAGGUAAUGGCCCACCAAGGCGAUUACAGGUACGGGCUCUGAGAGGAGAAGCCCGGAGAUGGGUACUGAGACACGGACCCAGGCCCUAUGGGGCGCAGCAGGCGAGAAACCUUAGCAAUGUGCGAAAGCACGACUGGGUCAGUCCGAGUGAUUCCUGAUAAAGGAGUCUUUUGCUUGUCCUAAAAGCACAGGUGAAUAAGGGGUGGGCAAGUCUGGUGUCAGCCGCCGCGGUAAUACCAGCACCUCGAGUGGUCAGGACGUUUAUUGGGCCUAAAGCAUCCGUAGCCGGCUUUGCAAGUCUUCGGUUAAAUCCACCUGCUCAACAGAUGGGCCGCUGGAGAUACUACAGAGCUAGGGAGUGGGAGAGGCAGACGGUAUUCAGUGGGUAGGGGUAAAAUCCUCUGAUCCAUUGAGGACCACCAGUGGCGAAGGCGGUCUGCCAGAACACGUUCGACGGUGAGGGAUGAAAGCUGGGGGAGCAAACCGGAUUAGAUACCCGGGUAGUCCCAGCUGUAAACGAUGCAAACUCGGUGAUGCAUUGGC